GAUGAACGCUGGCGGCGUGCCUAAUACAUGCAAGUCGAGCGAACAGACGAGGAGCUUGCUCCUCUGACGUUAGCGGCGGACGGGUGAGUAACACGUGGAUAACCUACCUAUAAGACUGGGAUAACUUCGGGAGACCGGAGCUAAUACCGGAUAAGAUAUUGAACCGCAUGGUUCAAUAGUGAAAGACGGUUUUGCUGGCACUUAUAGAUGGAUCCGCGCCGCAUUAGCUAGUUGGUAAGGUAACGGCUUACCAAGGCAACGAUGCGUAGCCGACCUGAGAGGGUGAUCGGCCACACUGGAACUGAGCCACGGUCCAUGCUCCUACGGGAGGCAGCAGUAGGGAAUCUUCCGCAAUGGGCGAAAGCCUGACGGAGCAACGCCGCGUGAGUGAUGACGGUCUUCGGAUCGUAAAACUCUGUUAUUAGGGAAGAACAAAUGUGUAAGUAACUAUGCACGUCUUGACGGUACCUAAUCAGAAAGCCACGGCUAACUACGUG
rnacentral:rRNA from 1 species